rnacentral:rRNA from 1 species
GACGAACGCUAGCGGCGUGCCUAAUACAUGCAAGUCGAGCGGACGGAUGGGAGCUUGCUCCCAGACCGUCAGCGGCGGACGGGUGAGUAACACGUGGGCAACCUGCCUGUAAGACUGGGAUAACUCCGGGAAACCGGGGCUAAUACCGGAUAACUCUUUCCCUCACAUGAGGGAAAGCUGAAAGAUGGCAUCUCGCUAUCACUUACAGAUGGGCCCGCGGCGCAUUAGCUAGUUGGUGAGGUAACGGCUCACCAAGGCGACGAUGCGUAGCCGACCUGAGAGGGUGAUCGGCCACACUGGGACUGAGACACGGCCCAGACUCCUACGGGAGGCAGCAGUAGGGAAUCUUCCGCAAUGGACGAAAGUCUGACGGAGCAACGCCGCGUGAGUGAUGAAGGUUUUCGGAUCGUAAAACUCUGUUGUCAGGGAAGAACAAGUACCGGAGUAACUGCCGGUACCUUGACGGUACCUGACCAGAAAGCCACGGCUAACUACGUG